UACGUAGGGUGCGAGCGUUGUCCGGAAUUAUUGGGCGUAAAGAGCUUGUAGGCGGUUUGUCGCGUCUGCUGUGAAAAUCCGGGGCUCAACCCCGGACUUGCAGUGGGUACGGGCAGACUAGAGUGUGGUAGGGGAGACUGGAAUUCCUGGUGUAGCGGUGAAAUGCGCAGAUAUCAGGAGGAACACCGAUGGCGAAGGCAGGUCUCUGGGCCACUACUGACGCUGAGAAGCGAAAGCGUGGGGAGCGAACAGGA
rnacentral:rRNA from 1 species